CUCUGACUGAACUAGCAAGGAGCAGUUAGAGUCCACGAGAAAAACUCAAAAGAAGAUAUUUUGAAGAAUUCUGGUAAUCAAAACCAACAGGUGCAGAAAUGAAAGCUCCCAAGCAAAGAACUCACUGGACUAAGAUGUGGAAAGACAUGCUGCACAAUGAGCAACAACCAAGAACAGUAUUCACUGAUUACCUUUAAAAAUGAUUCAUAGUAAAAGUU